CAGUAGCCGCGGUAAUACGUAGGGUGCAAGCGUUAAUCGGAAUUACUGGGCGUAAAGCGUGCGCAGGCGGUUAUAUAAGUCAGAUGUGAAAUCCCCGGGCUCAACCUGGGAACUGCAUUUGAGACUGUAUGGCUAGAGUGUGUCAGAGGGGGGUAGAAUUCCACGUGUAGCAGUGAAAUGCGUAGAUAUGUGGAGGAAUACCGAUGGCGAAGGCAGCCCCCUGGGAUAACACUGACGCUCAUGCACGAAAGCGUGGGGAGCAAACAGGAUUAGAUACCCCGGUAGUCCCUGUCUCUUAUAA
rnacentral:rRNA from 1 species